rnacentral:rRNA from 1 species
GGAUUAGAUACCCUGGUAGUCCACGCCGUAAACGUUGAACACUAGUUGUUGUGGGUAUUGACCCCCGCAGUGACGACGCUAACGCAUUAAGUGUUCCGCCUGGGGACUACGGCCGCAAGGCUAAAACUCAAAGGAAUUGACGGGGGCCCGCACAAGCGGUGGAGUAUGUGGUUUAAUUCGACGACGCGCAGAACCUUACCCGGUCUUGACAUUGAGAGAAAGCAUGGAGAAAUCCAUGCCCCUUCCUUCGGGAAGCUCGAAAACAGGUGCUGCAUGGCUGUCGUCAGCUCGUGUUG